AAACAUUGCCCAUGUCGUGGUAAUGCCCAACGUUAGCCAAGAGAAGCUGGAUGAUUUCCUAGCCGAAUUGGUUGAGAAACGCUCGACUUGGUACAAAGAUGAAAACGUUCAACCUCCUUGUGUCGCAGCAGAGUUGGGAAGUGAGAGCUGUGCUUGUAAGUUGCACAGGAGUUGAUGUGCUUUUAUGGAAGUUGUAUUCUGUUGUAUUGCUCGUUUUGUAGUGAAACUCUAGAUUCACUUGAAUGUUGGGUUAUAUUGUAGUCGUGUGUUUCGAG
rnacentral:misc_RNA from 1 species